AACCAGGGGGCUAAGUUGUAUAGGACGGUAAAAAGACAGUUAAGCGAUAGAAUAAUAGGUUAAUAUUCACUGUAUUAUCGGGAGGUAGAAUUCGAAGAUAGACAAGUAUACUUAAUAAGACCAAUUAUGCUGAAGCUGUGAUAACUUUGAGGGAAACUAGGAUUAGAUACCCUACUAUUCAUAGAAGUAAAUAAGAAAAUUCUACCAGAGUACUAAGAACAAAUAAUUUAAAACUCAAAGAGCUUGGCGGUGUUUUAGACUACUUAGGGGAACCUGUCUCAUAAUCGACAAUCCACGCUAAACCUAACCUUCUUUUGCACUCAGUUUGUAUACCGUCGUCGCCAGGUAACUUUUAAGAAAUAAACAGUUAGCUAGCUAAAUACUUAAGUUAAGACGUCAGAUCAAGGUGCAGCUAAUAAUAAGGUGUAGAUGGGUUACAAUUACAAAAUUCGUAAUAACGGACAACAGCCUUAAAGGCAAUUGAAAAGGAGGACUUAAAAGUAAAAUAGAUUUAUAUAAAAAUAUCUUGAAUAAAGCUCUGAAACGUGC
rnacentral:rRNA from 1 species